rnacentral:rRNA from 1 species
AGUGAACGCUGGCGGUAGGCCUAACACAUGCAAGUCGAACGGCAGCACAGUAAGAGCUUGCUCUUACGGGUGGCGAGUGGCGGACGGGUGAGGAAUACAUCGGACUCUACUUUUUCGUGGGGGAUAACGUAGGGAAACUUACGCUAAUACCGCAUACGACCUACGGGUGAAAGCAGGGGAUCUUCGGACCUUGCGCAAUUGAAUGAGCCGAUGUCGGAUUAGCUAGUUGGCGGGGUAAAGGCCCACCAAGGCGACGAUCCGUAGCUGGUCUGAGAGGAUGAUCAGCCACACUGGAACUGAGACACGGUCCAGACUCCUACGGGAGGGAGCAGUGGGGAAUAUUGGACAAUGGGCGCAAGCCUGAUCCAGCCAUACCGCGUGGGUGAAGAAGGCCUUCGGGUUGUAAAGCCCUUUUGUUGGGAAAGAAAAGCAGCAGGUUAAUACCCCGCUGUUCUGACGGUACCCAAAGAAUAAGCACCGGCUAACUUCGUG